rnacentral:rRNA from 1 species
GUCGAACGAGGUCCAUGGAGUAGCAAUACUCCGGAAGACCUAGUGGCGAACGGGUGCGUAACACGUGAGAAACCAACCCCGGUCUCUGGGAUAACAGGUGGAAACACCUGCUAAUACCGGAUGCCGUCGUUUCCUCGCAUGGGGAGAUGACGAAAGGGCUACCGGAUCGGGACGGUCUCGCGGCCUAUCAGCUUGUUGGAGAGGUAACGGCUCACCAAGGCAUCGACGGGUAGCUGGUCUGAGAGGAUGAUCAGCCACACUGGGACUGGGACACGGCCCAGACUCCUACGGGAGGCAGCAGUGGGGAAUCUUGCGCAAUGGGCGAAAGCCUGACGCAGCAACGCCGCGUGCGGGAUGAAGGCCUUCGGGUUGUAAACCGCUUUUACCAGGAAGGAAAAUGACAGUACCUGGAGAAUAAGGUGCGGCCAACUACGUGCCAGCAGCCGCGGUGACACG